UUACAGCCAUAUCAUGUUGAAAGACUGGUUCCCGUAAGAUCAACGAAGUUAAGCAACAUCGAGCCUGGUCAGUACCAAGAUGGGUGACCGCUUGUGAAUACCUCGUACUGUAA